rnacentral:rRNA from 1 species
GACGUAGGGGGCCAGCGUUGUUCGGAAUUACUGGGUGUAAAGGGUUCGUAGGCGGUGCGGCAAGUUGGGAGUGAAAUCUCUGGGCUUAACCCAGAGGCUGCUUCCAAAACUGCUGUGCUUGAGUGUGGGAGAGGCGCGUGGAAUUGCAGGUGUAGCGGUGAAAUGCGUAGAUAUCGGGAGGAACACCAGUGGCGAAGGCGACUUCCUGGCCUGUUCUUGACGCUGAGGCGCGAAAGCUAGGGUAGCAAACGGG